CGGGCCCGCGUACUGGGUCUUCGUUUUCCCGAAAUCCGCGGCGUCCUCCUCUCGCGGGCGUGCUGUUGCAAUCUCCUCGUGGGAUCCGUGAGCUGGACCGGGUCCGCCGCGUCGUGGGGAUAAGACCUUGGACUCUCCGCAGUUUCUUCCCUGCGAGACCCAUGUGCAGAAGCUCUGCACCGCUCUAGCCGCCAGGUACCGAUAUCGCCGUCUGUGAGGGAGAGCCGAGUGACAUCGCCGCCAUGGGCUGUUCCCCGUUCAACCAGUCGACGUGCACCGCCCAACCCUGUCAUUGUGCAUGGGAGUGAGAGAGCUCUGUUGUUGCCGAGAGCUGGCGGCUACUCCAACCGCGUGCCGUCGGGAUCGGGCUUCGGGGAGAGAAAUCGAGGAGAGAGGGAUUAGGGGAAAGCUCUGGUCUUCAUCAUCCGCUAACGUGCGCGAGGACACGUGUCAUCUGAAAAGCAAGUUGGUACCUGGAAUCUCAAGUGCCAGGCAAGUUGUGCCCUUGAUCACUUACUUUUUCCCAGCCAUGUUCUUAUUAAUUAUAAUGAUCUGCAUAGGUUAAUUUUGAUGGGACCUAAUAGGUUACCCUAGUUUUGGCUAUCUUUAUACCUUGUUUACCACUGAAAUAUUUCUUUGGGUAGUACCUGCUAUUGCUUUAUGUGGAUUUGGGUAUGAAGAUACUUUAUUCAUAAUUACUCUUUUAUUCUCUUUUAUUAUUACUGUUCAUGUUAAGAUCAUUAUGUUAAUGGGAACAUGGAGCGACCACCCGGGAAAACAGUGCUACCACAAGGGUAUAAUGGGACGCCCUUGGCUGAUUAACUAGGAAAGUUAGUGGAGGUCUUCCUUACCCGAAAGGGGCAAGGGCAGUAGGGGAGUGGUCAGUGUAGGGAGGUCCUUGGUUGAUUUUGCUGCGAUGGCGGUCAGGCAAGAACCCUGCAUUGGAGCUUCCUAUAAACUGUAGCGGGAUUUCUGAAGCUAGUGGAACUUUGUAAAGGCCUCGUAGUGUUACCCUGCCUCGCCUCCUCGGUAGAGGUGUAUGGGAUUGGCCAUCUCUUGGCAGAUGGGUAACAUGACUUGUGGGUAAAGAUGUGCAACCUCUGCAGAGUGUAAAACUGGUAUACUAGCCGUGCUCACGGUCAUGAGCGGCUCGGACCCUCACAUGAUUAAUUUAUGGAACUUAAAUUUAAUUGGACAUUUGCAUCGCAUUUGAGAUUAUUUUACUAUUAUUUUUCUUUAUUAUUAUUAAGGUUUGGUAUUUACUUACACUUAGUAAUUGCUAAUAAAAGUUUGACCAACUUAUAAAAGCAAUGCUAAGCUUCAGCCUUUAUUCCAUUGAUCAGCCUUACACUUCAUGAACUCCCACCUUUGGUGAGUUCAUGCCACAUUAUUCCCCACGACUUGUUGAGCGAUGAACGUAUGUGAGCUCACUCUUGCUGUCUCACACCCCCCACAGGAGAAGAACAGGUGGUUCAGGAGGAGCCACAAGGCGAGGAGUAUGAUCUGAUCUAGGUGGCGUUUCUCAGUCGACAUUGGCACCGACGAUCCUUAGUUCGUUUUACAUUUAUUCCUUUAUUUUGUAAUAAGUCUUCCGCUAUGUAAUAAGUACUCUGAUGUUUUGUGACAUUUAUCUCUAUACACUCUGUUAUUAUAUAUGUUGUCUUCUUUGGCGCAUGUAUGAGAUGCACCCGGCUUUGUCCUUUAAAACCGGGUGUGACAAUAUGUUAAUCAAGAUACAUUACGCGAGGCUAGGAGCCAGAAAAGGAAGGCUACUAGUCCAACACCUCAGGAGGAGGAGUUAGACCAAGAAAUCAACAGGUUCAGAGGAAGAAGGAAAAGAUGCUUUGUCUCACCGAUGUUCAGAAGAAGAUUGAUGAGGCCGCUAAGGAAAUGCGUCAUAUCACCCAAGAUGACCAAGACCGAAGGCCUCAAUACAGAGAGCUUCGUCAAGACAAUUCGUACAACGAUUACAACGAUGAUGAAUGGUAUGAUGAUUUCCAUCAUGGUAAUUUUGCUUUUGACGAUGCUUCUCCUCUAGCAGCAGAGUUGCAGCCUACCCCAUGGCUCCCAUCAUACAAGCCACCUCAGCUUCCUAUGUAUGAUGGGCACUCAGACCCAAAGCAGAUCCUAAUGAGCUACGAGGCAACCAUAUCUUCAUAUGGGGGCAAUACUGCAGUCAUGGCGAAAUCCUUCAUCAUGGCAGUCAAAAGUGUAGCUCAAACUUGGUAUUCGUCCCUCAGGCCAGGAACAAUCACAUGAUGGCAGAAGCUCAAGGAUAUGCUAAUCACUAGCUUCCAAGGCUUUCAGACGAAGCCAGUCACUGCUCAGGCUUUGUUUCAGUGCACGCAGGACCAUGAGAAGUACCUUCAGGCGUAUGUCCGAAGGUUCCUACGUCUAAGAGCACAAGCACUUAUAGUGCCCAAUGAAAUUGUCAUUGAGGCCAUGAUCAAGGGGCUUCGGCCAGGACCUAUGACUCAAUAUUUUGCCAGGAAACCCCCACAAACCCUGGAGAAGCUUCUUCAGAAGAUGGAUGAGUACAUCCGGGCUGAUAAUGAUUUCCGCCAAAGAAGGGAAGAAGCAUACAGGUUUUCUGAGAUGACGAGGGGCUUCGGAGGAAGAAUCCACCCCAGACAUGUUAGAUCAAUCCUGAAUUCCAACCCAUGUGAUGACAGAGGAAGUCAACCUCAAAGGCAGCAACACAGCUCCCAGUCUUUAGGGCCACAACAAAGCUUCUUCAGGCCACCAGCCACAAGGGGCAAAGGCAGCAGGGGCUUCGGAGGAAGAUACGGAGAUUAGCCUAGAAGACUGUACUGUUUAUUCUGUGGUGAAGUCAAGGGCCACACCACAAGAACUUGUCAAGUCACAAUUCAGAAGCAAAAGGAGAUUGCCAAAGCUGAAGCACGGCAGAAUCAGCCGAAGCAAGUCCUACAUACUGCCUCAUGCUAUUCUUCCUAUGUCCUAGAAUAUGUAGGUAAUCAGCAGCCUACGGCCUCUGUUGCUUCGGCAAGCCAUUCUCCAGCUUCCUAGGCUCAGCUCCCACCACCACUGCUGCUAUGACCUACUUUGACCCGAAGUCAACAGCCAGAAGGGGACCAGCACGCUCAACAACAGCGUGACUUCUGAGAGGAGUCCGAAGCUCGUACAGUUAACAACAUUGUGCCAGAAUCUAAGCAUAUCUACUGAAGAAUAUCCUACUCUUGAUGUACCUUUAUCUUUUAUGCCAUUUUAUUUUUUGUAUGAGAAACAAGUAACGAAGGACUAAAUUUCAAUUUCAUGUAAUAAUUGUGCCUGCAUCAAUGAGUAAAAUACGCCUGCUUAACAGA